UAACGAUACGGGANUCAUCCGAGGCCCCGUAAUCGGAAUGAGUACACUUUAAAUCCUUUAACAAGGAUCCAUUGGAGGGCAAGUCUGGUGCCAGCAGCCGCGGUAAUUCCAGCUCCAAUAGCGUAUAUUAAAGUUGUUGCGGUUAAAAAGCUCGUAGUUGAAUCUGUGUGCCACGCUGUCGGUUCAUCGCUCGCGAUGUCAACUGGCAUGAUUGUGGUACGUCCUACCGGUGGAUUUAGCCUUUCGGGGCGGUCCAGCUUAAUAUCCCAUCGCGGUGCUCUUUACCGAGUGUCGAGGUGGGCCGGUACGUUUACUUUGAACAAAUUAGAGUGCUUAAAGCAGGCUGUAACGCCUGAAUACUGUGUGCAUGGAAUAAUAGAAUAGGACCUCGGUUCUAUUUUGUUGGUUUUCGGAACACCGAGGUAAUGAUUAAUAGGGACAGAUGGGGGCAUUCGUAUUGCGACGUUAGAGGUGAAAUUCUUGGAUCGUCGCAAGACGGACAGAAGCGAAAGCAUUUGCCAAAAAUGUUUUCAUUAAUCAAGAACGAAAGUUAGAGGUUCGAAGGCGAUCAGAUACCGCCCUAGUUCUAACCAUAAACGAUGCCAGCUAGCGAUCCGCCGAAGUUCCUCCGAUGACUCGGCGGGCAGCUUCCGGGAAACCAAAGCUUUUGGGUUCCGGGGGAAGUAUGGUUGCAAAGCUGAAACUUAAAGGAAUUGAC
rnacentral:rRNA from 1 species